rnacentral:rRNA from 1 species
CCAAAAAUGGUAAUCCCUUUAAAGAAACAUCUAUUGUGGUGCUCUUUUCGUGCGAUGCACUUUAUCAUGGACUUUUUCGAGCGCCCAGUUAAAAAUUUUUGUAAGUCAAGAAAUUGAGCACAUGACAACAUCUUGUUUAUGACUAAUAAAGUGCCAGCAGUCGCGGUCAUACUUUUAUAGACACGAAAAUAUUCAGAACACUUUAUCUUUCUAAGGUUAUUUUUAGUAAAAUAUUAAUAACCCUAAUUCUUCACUACUACUAUAUUUUUAAUAACUGACAACAAACAGGGAUUAGAUACCCCUUUAUGCAGUAAAUACACUUAUUCUGAGGAUUAGAAUAGCAAAUUCAAACUCAAACCACAUGGCGGUAGUUUAUAUUUAGGGGAACUUACUAGAUAAUUGAUAGCCACCAAGAUAAUCCACGUUAAGUAAAAUUUUGUAUACCGUCGUCGUGGAUAUACUAUAAUAGGAUAUCAGCAAAUACACUAAUUUCAAGACAGAUCAAGGUACAGACUAUCUUAACGCCUCAGCGAGUUACAAUAGGAAUUAUACUUCACAAGGUAUAUUUAAUAUCCCAACGUGUCGGACUUAAAAGUAAUUUAUAAUAAACUUAAUUUGUGAAUGUACUCUAAACUGUGC